GACAGAGGUCCCGAGCGUUAGGCGGAAUCACUGGGCUUAAAGCGUGUGUAGGCGGACUUGUAAGUACCUUGUGAAAUCCCACGGCUUAACCGUGGAACUGCUUGGUAUACUGCUUGUCUUGGGCCACUUAGGGGCUACCGGAACAAACGGUGGAGCGGUGAAAUGCGUAGAUAUCAUCAGGAACACCAGUGGCGAAAGCGGCUUACUGGGUCUCUUCUGACGCUGAGGUACGAAAGCCAGGGGAGCGAAGGGG
rnacentral:rRNA from 1 species